ACUGGUGCCAGAAAGUUAAACAGAUUUCACCUUAACCAUCUAAUAGCGAGCGUGCAGGUAGGUUGAGGCGCCACCGGCCGGGGCACAUUCAAACUGCCGCCAAAUGCUCCUUCCAACAAACCGGAUUACCAACAACCAUUCCCGGACAGGACUUCAAUUCAACACCCUUUAACCAUUCCAGGAGCACCCUCAUUGAGGGCUCUUAACAGUGAUCAUUGCGCAGCUGACAUCUGCGGGAGCCACACCAGAGUUGAACUGUAGAAAGGGAUUUUUUACGCACUUUCAACCUCUGGAGCACCCUCAGGGAGAGCCCACGCAGAUACACAGUAUCAAGCACUCUCCUCUACAAUAUCCAUACGGAUACAGUAAUACAGCUCCCUAACAGGAAUAUCACCCCCUCAGUUUACUAUAUCAGCCGUUCGGACAUCUGAACUUGCAUAUCCCUACCAAUAUCGCUUGCACCAGCGCGACUGAUCCUCUACAGUCAUUGGGAGAGCACUCCCUCACACCGCUUACAGUUCCAUCUGUAUUACCAGGACCUCCCUCUCCUCCUACUGCUUAUACAGGAACUGUCCAGAGGAGGAGAUAUGGGAGCCGGGGUAUGGGAGCGCCCGGUUUGCCCUUCCCCCUGCCGGAUCCGGAACCCGUAUGUACAAAACGUGGUGUGAAUGCACCCUAACUUGAAACCAGACUCAACAUACAAUGCUACGGACAGUCCAGAUCUGUGAAAUGUGUCACAACUGUAGGAACUGACCAAUCAGAAUGGGCAUUUUACUGGUAAAUGUCCUCUAUUACUGAAGUGCA